rnacentral:rRNA from 1 species
CCAGACUCCUACGGGAGGCAGCAGUGAGGAAUAUUGGUCAAUGGUCGGGAGACUGAACCAGCCAAGCCGCGUGAGGGAGGAAGGUACAGAGUAUCGUAAACCUCUUUUGUCAGGGAGCAACGCCGGCUACGUGUAGCCGGACUGAGAGUACCUGAAGAAAAAGCAUCGGCUAACUCCGUGCCAGCAGCCGCGGUAAUACGGAGGAUGCGAGCGUUAUCCGGAUUUAUUGGGUUUAAAGGGUGCGUAGGCGGAAUGCCAAGUCAGCGGUAAAAAUUCGGGGCUCAACCCCGUCCGGCCGUUGAAACUGGGGGCCUUGAGUGGGCGAGAAGAAGGCGGAAUGCGUGGUGUAGCGGUGAAAUGCAUAGAUAUCACGCAGAACCCCGAUUGCGAAGGCAGCCUUCCGGCGCCCUACUGACGCUGAGGCACGAAAGUGCGGGGAUCGAACAGGAUUAGAUACCCCCGUAC